rnacentral:rRNA from 1 species
UGGGGAAUAUUGCGCAAUGGGCGAAAGCCUGACGCAGCAACGCCGCGUGAGGGAUGAAGGUCUUCGGAUCGUAAACCUCUGUCAGCAGGGAAGAACGGUCACUGUGCUAAUCAGCAGUGAAUUGACGGUACCUGCAAAGGAAGCACCGGCUAACUCCGUGCC